GAUGAACGCUGGCGGCGUGCCUAAUACAUGCAAGUCGAGCGAACGGACGAGAAGCCUGCUUCUCUGAUGUUAGCGGCGGACGGGUGAGUAGCACGUGGAUAACCUACCUAUAAGACUGGGAUAACUUCGGGAAACCGGAGCUAAUACCGGAUAAUAUUUUGAACCGCAUGGUUCAAAAGUGAAAGACGGUCUUGCUGUCACUUAUAGAUGGAUCCGCGCUGCAUUAGCUAGUUGGUAAGGUAACGGCUUACCAAGGCAACGAUGCAUAGCCGACCUGAGAGGGUGAUCGGCCACACUGGAACUGAGACACGGUCCAGACUCCUACGGGAGGCAGCAGUAGGGAAUCUUCCGCAAUGGGCGAAAGCCUGACGGAGCAACGCCGCGUGAGUGAUGAAGGUCUUCGGAUCGUAAAACUCUGUUAUUAGGGAAGAACAUAUGUGUAAGUAACUGUGCACAUCUUGACGGUACCUAAUCAGAAAGCCACGGCUAACUACGUG
rnacentral:rRNA from 1 species